rnacentral:rRNA from 1 species
GACAGAGGUGCCAAGCGUUAGGCGGAAUCACUGGGCUUAAAGCGUGUGUAGGCGGAAUGGUAAGUACCUUGUGAAAUCCCACGGCUCAACCGUGGAACUGCUCGGUAUACUGCUUUUCUUGAGCCACUUAGGGGCUGUCGGAACAAACGGUGGAGCGGUGAAAUGCGUAGAUAUGACAUAGAACACCAAUUGCGAAGGCAGCUUACUACGGGUGCAUUGACACUGAGGCACGAAAGCGUGGGGAUCAAACAGG